rnacentral:rRNA from 1 species
UUCCAGUUGUCGCGCCAGCGGCAUUGCUGGGUAGCUAAGUUGGGUACGGAUAACCGCUGAAAGCAUCUAAGCGGGAAGCCUCCCUCGAAACUAAUUCUCCCAUGAGAGCUGUGGAAGACCACCACUUUGAUAGGUCAGGUGUGGAAGUGUAGUAAUACAUGAAGCUUACUGAUACUAAUCGCUCGAUUGGCUUGAUUGCACCCAUUAU